rnacentral:rRNA from 1 species
UACGUAGGGUGCGAGCGUUAAUCGGAAUUACUGGGCGUAAAGCGUGCGUAGGCGGUUCGUUAAGUUCGUCGUGAAAGCCCCGGGCUCAACCUGGGAAUGGCGAUGGAAACUGGCGGGCUGGAGUAUGGCAGAGGGGGGUGGAAUUCCGCGUGUAGCAGUGAAAUGCGUAGAGAUGCGGAGGAACACCGAUGGCGAAGGCAGCCCCCUGGGCCAAUACUGACGCUCAGGCACGAAAGCGUGGGGAGCAAAC